CACCCAAAAGGCCUCGGAACGAAACACCGUCUCCUUUGCCAGCGUUUAAGGUAAGAAAAGAGAAGAUGGGGGACAGAAUCACUGCGCUUCAACAAUUGGUUUCGCCUUUCGGAAAGACCGAUACAGCCUCGGUGCUCUCUGAAGCCAUUGAAUACAUCAAAUUCCUCCAUGAACAAGUG